UACGGAGGAUGCGAGCGUUAUCCGGAUUUAUUGGGUUUAAAGGGUGCGCAGGCGGAUUUUUAAGUCAGCGGUCAAAUCGUGGGGCUCAACCCCGUCGUGCCGUUGAAACUGGCGUUCUUGAGUGAGCGAGAAGUAUGCGGAAUGCGUGGUGUAGCGGUGAAAUGCAUAGAUAUCACGCAGAACUCCGAUUGCGAAGGCAGCAUACCGGCGCCCGACUGACGCUGAAGCACGAAAGCGUGGGUAUCGAACAGG
rnacentral:rRNA from 1 species